UCAGCCACUCUUCAGGUUUUUUCUGGGAAGGAAAGUAGUGACCAUAAAACAAAACAAAAAGGGGGAGAGGUCACAAGGUGUUACUUGAGAGGGAAAAUCAGUAUUUUCGUUGCACCUACUAUUUUGCAUAAUUAUAUCAGAACUCUGCUUUCCCCCAUCACUGACAGUGUGAAUCAAAUAUGAGUCAACUAUUUGAAAGAGAGAGGCAAGUGAUUUGAUUUUCAAAAUGCACAUACACACAUACCUCUCAAAGCAGGGACAAACUCCUUCAACAAUAGCUUUUGUUUUCUCAAAGCUGAAAGUAUGGGGGCAGGUAAGCAGUCUGCUUCGGCAGUUCAUCCACCACAGCUAUGGCAAACAGAUUCCAAGGAAAUAGUGUGACCAUAUAGACACUGGGAAAAGGUCAGGAUGCCAACCUUGAGGGCUACUGGCAAUGAAGAGAACUCUACAAAAAGUUAACUUUUGUUAGAAGGGAAGAUCUCCUUAAACAACAGCCCUCAAACUGCAUCAGCAGAGGCAAAACUCAUUAGAAACAAAUGAAUAAAAACUGCACCUUUUGUUCCCACUCCGAAGUACUACAUCUGAAUAUCCGAUGACUCCAGAAUGCCAUUCUUCCUCCACAUCAUAGAUGCUUUAGAGAAUCUAGUUGAGCAUACAAGGUAUUUUAAUACUGUAAAGGUCUAAACAUUCAGGUUAGAAUGAUACAGGUGUGAAAGCUAAAUAACUAAUUGGAAAUGUCUGAUGACCUGAACCAGAAAAGAGCUCAGUCUCUCAUCUGGAUUCAAAUAGCUUUCUAAUGGAAAACUCUCCUCUAAACAAGAUGUUGGUGAUUCCAGUUGUUACAGGUGUUGAUCUCCAAAGCUAUCCAGAAGAUGAUGCCUGAAGCCUGUACCUUCUAUGACAGGCCAGUAUGGAAAAUGACAAGUUCAAAGCAGAGACUUCUAAACAAUUCCUAAGUUACCCUGUUACAGGU